UCCGGCUUAUCACCGGCAGUCCCGCUAGAGUGCCCAACUAAAUGCUGGCAACUAGUGGUAAGGGUUGCGCUCGUUGCGGGACUUAACCCAACACCUCACGGCACGAGCUGACGACAGCCAUGCAGCACCUGUACUAGCUCCCCGAAGGGUCCUUCAUCUUUCGAAUCCGUACCACGUGCGUUCGAGCCCUGGUAAGGUUCCUCGCGUAUCAUCGAAUUGAACCACAUGCUCCACCGCUUGUGCGGGCCCCCGUCAAUUCCUUUGAGUUUCAAUCUUGCGAUCGUACUCCCCAGGUGGAUCACUUAACGCUUUCGCUAGGUGACUGACCGUGUAUCGCCAAUCACGAGUGAUCAUCGUUUACGGCGUGGACUAC
rnacentral:misc_RNA from 1 species